CAACACGGCCCUUUUUAACACCUCUAUACGUGCAAUGUGAAAUUUUUCCUUCGUACAAAACGUAAGAAAAAAGUUCAUUGGAACCCAUCAACAAAUGCAAUACAUACAAUGAGAAAUGCAAUAACACAGUUGACAAAUAACCGAGCAACAAGCAUAUGCAAGUUCUUAGCAUAUGCUAAGCACUAAUCUAUUGCUUUUCUUAAUUUGGCUUCAGAAUAAAAAGUAAGGCAGUAAAAAGUUUCAAGGGUGCCAUAUUAAGCACUUAAUGAGAAGAAAAAUGCUCAACUCAACUCAUGAGGCAGGGAAAAACUUUGCUGUUGUGACCAGGAACAAUACAAACUAUGAAUAUGCAAAAACUUCAUCCCAUUCAUGGUGCUUCUAUAAAAGUGGUCCAACUAUAGACCCUUAGCCGCAGAACUAUAUGAUAGAUCAAUUUUCCUUUGCUUAAAUGACAGAAUCCUAAAAAAAUUACCUACAAUUUGCAUUGCCGCAAAAGACACUGGAAGAUGACAGUUUAACUUUCACUUAGGUGAACAAAGAAACAUACUUUUAUUUCAGAGAUGCAGUUCCAGCAUGGAAAUGGAAAACAGAUCAAAAUAGUACCAAACAAACUUAGAAUCCAAUUCGAUCUGUUGAAACCUGCACCUCUCUUUACAUGUCAAACAACCACUUACUUUAAAAUCCAAUUUUUAAGACAAGCCCUAAUAUUAAAAAUUGAACAGGUUUUGUACAACAGCACAAACAGAAUAAGCUACUAGUCUUGAAUUUUUAUGAGUUGGAGGGCGGAUUCAGGAAUUUAGGACGCAUGGGCUGAAAUUUAUUAAAUAGGCAAGUAACAACAAUUCAUUAAUUUGCCAACAAGGCAAUAUGAAGUAGUGAGAUUAAUCUUUGAAUUUUAACCUUCUCAAAAUUUCAAAAAUGUCACAGAAUUUUAAAAAAUGCAUUUUUAAGCUAAGAUAUGAUAAUUUGAAAAUAACAGUUUAAAUAAGAACUAUGACAUUGAAAAUAUGGUGAUGCUACAAAAAUAAUUAUGAUGAAAAACUUGAUCAAACCAUGCCAGACUGUUAUUAAAAUAAUGGUUAAAGCAGAAGCGGAGCCAGGAUAUUCGUUAGGCGAGGGCACAAAUUUUAUCAUCGCCGAACGUCGAGUUUUUGGUCAUGGAUUUAAUGAUGAUAAAAAUAUAAAACAAUAUUACAACAACACUAAAAAUGACACAGUUCAUAUAUUACACUUGUUUCUUGCGAGUUUCCAUACUUUGAUUACUACUGGGAGUAAUUCAAAAUGAUAGAAACAAAAUAAAAAUAUACUGGAAGCAAAAACAAAGCAAUUCACACUUCACAGGGCAAUUCACAUAGCAAUACUAUAAGCAAUUCACAUUCACAGGGCAAUAAAAUUUCACAAUUUCAUAGAGCAAUACUAUUUCCAGAAUUCUCACUUCAAAAUUGAAAAUUCACCAAGACUGUAAGAUUUAAGCAAUGUUAAAAAAAUAUGAAAGUCCAGCCCCAUUUUUUAGACUUGAGCAUAAAGCAGUAAAUGAAAAUUUUAAAACACUCCAUUGCCAAAGAUACCAUAAAUCCUAAAUUAAAAUAAAAAAGGAGAACAAAACAGACCACCAUCUUCUGAAAACCUCAAAUUUGUGAGGAAUUUCAAAACACAAUAGAUGCCCACAUACAAGAAUAAUCAAGAUAACAGGAAGAAUCAAUAGUUAAAGAUGUAAAGAAGACUAAAAAAAAAAAAAAAUUCAAAAUUCGAACUUUCUAACAAGAAAAAGAAGUGAGCGAAUUUCAACAAAACCACACACAAAUAAAAACAUACAUUUCAAGAAAAACAGAGAGAAUCGAAGUGAAAGUUCAAAAUAAAGCUCAAUAAAAGAUAAAAAAAAAAAAAAAAAAAAAAAAAAAAAGCCCACCCCUUUUUUAUAUCAGGAUCAAACUUUAGAGUCGCCGGCUUCCGAAAAAUCGCCGACGUCUGCUUCUGCUGCUGCAAGUGCGUCUACGGUCUAGCCGUCUAGGGCUCGAACAGCAGGGACAGUCGGAGAGCAGGGGAGGAGGAGGUUGAGACUGCGCUGGGGAAGACGGGACUGGAAGGAGUGGGCGGCGCCGCGGAGGCGGACGCCACGGAAUGGGCAACGGGUAGAAUUGGGGAAUGGAUGGAAUUGGAAUGGGUUGAAAUAGAGUGACGAAUGGGAAAAAAUCAAAAGUCA
rnacentral:lncRNA from 1 species